AUGGAAACACCCAAGAGCUGGAAUUUCAUCCUGAUAUGCAGUCACUGGCAGGAAACUCUUCAGUGGUUUUUGGGGCUGAGGUAGCUCGGAAUGUGGAUGGAAUGUAAGUGUGU